GGAUUGGGAGGGUUCUACGGAACCCGUUUGGUGAAUCUAGUGCCGAGAAAAGCCUUCUAUGUGUUGAAUUUCUAGUACCCGUACCCCAAACCGACACAGGUGGGUGGGUAGAGCAUACCUAGGGGCGCGUGAUAGCUCUCUCUAAGGAACUCGGCAAAAUGGCCCUGUAACUUCGGGAUAAGGGGUGCCUGCGUGAGCAGGCCGCAGUGAAAUGGCUCUGGCGACUGUUUACCAAAAACACAGGUCUCUGCUAAGUCGUAAGACGAUGUAUAGGGGCUGACUCCUGCCCAGUGCCGGAAGGUUAAGGAAGUUGGUUAGCGCAAGCGAAGCUGGCGACCGAAGCCCCGGUGAACGGCGGCCGUAACCAUAACGGUCCUAAGGUAGCGAAAUUCCUUGUCGGGUAAGUUCCGACCCGCACGAAAGGAGUAACGAUCAGAGCGCUGUCUCGGAGACAGACACGGCGAAAUAGGAUUGUCCGUGAAGAUACGGACUACCUGCACCCGGACAGAAAGACCCUAUGAAGCUUUACUGUAACUUGGAAUUGUGUUCGGACUUUGUCUGCGCAGAAUAGGUGGGAGGCUAUGAAACGUUCCUCGCGGGGAACUGGAGCCAUCGUUGAGAUACCACUCUGGCAGAGUCUGGAUUCUAACCUACGGGGACAGUUCCAGGUGGGCAGUUUGACUGGGGCGGUCGCCUCCUAAAAUGUAACGGAGGCGCGCAAAGGUUCCCUCAGGCUGGUUGGAAAUCAGCCAUAGAGUAAAAGCAUAAGGGAGCUUGACUGUGAGACCUACAAGUCGAGCAGGGACGAAAGUCGGCUUUAGUGAUCCGACGGCACUGAGUGGAAGGGCCGUCGCUCAACGGAUAAAAGUUACUCUAAGGAUAACAGGCUGAUCUCACCCAAGAGUUCGCAUCGACGGGGAGGUUUGGCACCUCGAUGUCGGCUCGUCGCAACCUGGGGCGGUAGUACGUCCCAAGGGUUGGGCUGUUCGCCCAUUAAAGCGGCACGUGAGCUGGGUUCAGAACGUCGUGAGACAGUUCGGUCCAUAUCCGGUGUAGGCGUAGGAGCAUUGAAAGGAUCUCUCCUUAGUACGAGAGGACCGGGAGGGACGUACCUCUGGUGUACCUGUUAUCGUGCCAACGGUAAACGCAGGGUAGCCAUGUACGGAGUGGAUAACCGCUGAAAGCAUCUAAGUGGGAAGCCCACCUUAAGAUGAGUGCUCCCUUGAGGCCACGGGAAGACGACCCGUUUGAUAGGCGCUAGGUGGAAGUGCAGUAAUGCAUGCAGCCGAGGCGUACUAAUAGGCCGAUGGCUUGUCC
rnacentral:rRNA from 1 species